ACGAACGCUGGCGGCGUGCCUAAUACAUGCAAGUUGAGCGCUGAAGGUUGGUACUUGUACCAACUGGAUGAGCAGCGAACGGGUGAGUAACGCGUGGGGAAUCUGCCUUUGAGCGGGGGCCAACAUUUGGAAACGAAUGCUAAUACCGCAUAAAAACUUUAAACACAAGUUUUAAGUUUGAAAGAUGCAAUUGCAUCACUCAAAGAUGAUCCCGCGUUGUAUUAGCUAGUUGGUGAGGUAAAGGCUCACCAAGGCGAUGAUACAUAGCCGACCUGAGAGGGUGAUCGGCCACAUUGGGACUGAGACACGGCCCAAACUCCUACGGGAGGCAGCAGUAGGGAAUCUUCGGCAAUGGACGGAAGUCUGACCGAGCAACGCCGCGUGAGUGAAGAAGGUUUUCGGAUCGUAAAACUCUGUUGGUAGAGAAGAACGUUGGUGAGAGUGGAAAGCUCAUCAAGUGACGGUAACUACCCAGAAAGGGACGGCUAACUACGUG
rnacentral:rRNA from 1 species